CCUACGGGAGGCAGCAGUGAGGAAUAUUGGUCAAUGGACGAGAGUCUGAACCAGCCAAGUAGCGUGAAGGAUGACUGCCCUAUGGGUUGUAAACUUCUUUUAUAAAGGAAUAAAACGAGGCACGUGUGCCUUUUUGCAUGUACUUUAUGAAUAAGGAUCGGCUAAUUCCGUGCCAGCAGCCGCGGUAAUACGGAAGGUCCGGGCGUUAUCCGGAUUUAUUGGGUUUAAAGGGAGCGUAGGCCGGCUUUUAAGUCAGCUGUGAAAGUCCGCGGCUCAACCGUGGAAUUGCAGUUGAAACUGGAGGCCUUGAGUGCACACAGGGAUGCCGGAAUUCAUGGUGUAGCGGUGAAAUGCUUAGAUAUCAUGAAGAACUCCGAUCGCGAAGGCAAGUGUCCGGGGUGCAACUGACGCUGAGGCUCGAAAGUGCGGGUAUCAAACAGGAUUAGAUACCCUUGUAGUC
rnacentral:rRNA from 1 species